rnacentral:rRNA from 1 species
CAAGCGUUGUUCGGAAUUACUGGGCGUAAAGGGCUCGUAGGCGGCCAACUAAGUCGGACGUGAAAUCCCUCAGCUUAACUGGGGAACUGCGUCCGAUACUGGAUGGCUUGGAUUUGGGAGAGGGAUGCGGAAUUCCAGGUGUAGCGGUGAAAUGCGUAGAUAUCUGGAGGAACACCGGUGGCGAAGGCGGCAUCCUGGACCAAUAUUGACGCUGAGGAGCGAAAGCCAGGGGAGCAAACGGG